CAAAGAUUAAGCCAUGCAUGUCUAAGUACAUACUUUUACAUGGUGAAACCGCGAAUGGCUCAUUAAAUCAGUUAUGGUUCCUUAGAUCGUACAAUCCUACUUGGAUAACUGUGGUAAUUCUAGAGCUAAUACAUGAAACUGACGCUCCGACCCUCUGGGAAAGAGCGCGUUUAUUAGAACAAGACCAGUCGGGGUUCGCCCCGUACGAUUGGUGAUACUGGAUAACUUUGUGCAGAUCGCACGGCCUCGCGCCGGCGACGUAUCUUUCAAAUGUCUGCCCUAUCAACUGUCGAUGGUACGUGAUAUGCCUACCAUGGUUGUAACGGGUAACGGGGAAUCAGGGUUCGAUUCCGGAGAGGGAGCAUGAGAAACGGCUACCACAUCC
rnacentral:rRNA from 1 species